CCAUAAUUUAAUAAUAUAAACUUGCAAUACAAUAUAUACGCAAUUCUGUUACACUUGCAAAUGUAUGAAAAGACUAUUAAUAAUAAAAAAUCAACUAUUGAAAAACAUGAAAAGUCAUAAAAAUCGACGUAUAUCAUUUCAAUACCAUACAAUUACCCAAAUUUGUAUGAAACAACAUUUAAAUACGAGGGGAAUGUCACUCCGCGAUAACACACUAAAACGCACGAAAACGAGCUCGAAAAGCAUCAACGCUACUCAUCGUACCGAGUUUUCACAUAACGCCACCAGAAAGUAAGUUAUCGCAAGUUAACGCGCGUUAAAGCGAGUUAAAGCGGUCAGCGUCUGCUCGAUUUUUGAACCAAACCAAAUCGAUCUUGCAACCCUGCCGUCAUUUUCGAGUAGUUUUUUUUUCGGGUUUGGCAACCCGUUCUUUGUUUUGAUUAUUUUCCUGCAGUUUUCGUAAAUAAACAAAGCAAUCUGUGAGUUUAAUUUGUUUUGCCCAUUCGGUGACGAAAACGCUGCAGAUUUGCCGCCCCGCUGGUGGUCUCACGGGGCAGGUGGAAUCAUCCCGAGUCCGAGGUACGAGGAGAUUUUUGAACCGAUGGCGGGUCCAGCGAAUCCGGGUUUGACGGAGCAGAUACGGGAGCCGAAGAAUAUGCUUCAGGGUUUGUGGAGGCGGCACAUAUUAGUGACUUUUAAUUUGAGAACCAGCGAAAGACGGUCCACAACUAUGGGACGCGUUUGACCCGUCGGUGGAGGAAGGACCGAGUGAAGGUGGUGGGACUCUUGCAGGCCGCGUACGACACGGACGGGAAGACGGUGUUUGAAUCUUUUAUAGCGAAUCAGGCGGGGGAUAAGAGAAAAAAGUUGAAGAUCGCCAAUUUGGAAGAAGUUGAUGGAUUUUUUGGACUGUGAGGCGAGGACGAGGAACUUGUGUCCAGGCCGAAUGGGACCGAGCAGGUUGUGAUCGAGGAGAUGAUGGCCAAAAAGCUGCGCCAGAUCAUUUGCUGGGGCACCCGCAGUGGAGAUUUCGUCCAGGAGUACGAACGGCAUCUGGGCGCGGUAAACUCGAUCACCUUCGACGACUAAAACCUGGCGACGCAAAGUCUACAUCUGUUUCACGGCCUGUACGAGCAGCUGAGUGCCUACACCAACAGUAUCGCCGUGCGCUGAUUCUCGAGUUUCUCCUGUUCCUCGCGGAUACGAAUAGCUUCGCGGGUGCGUCCAACGGAGGUCCGCUGUUGAAUCUGGACCACCGCGAGGACAGCAUCAACAGUAAUGGUUUGCCAGCACCGGUGCCUAUGCUGGCGGAGUUCUUCAAGGACGGGCAACUCCAAUCUGAACAUUCCCGAGCCCGGCCUCAUCGAAGGGACUCUUCCGCGCAGUGAAUUGACCGGUCACGAUUGGUUCAACAUGAUGCCCAAAAAGAUGAAUCACCGACACAAGUCCUAAGUGCUGUUCCAUCUGCACCAGAUCAACAACCACCAUCCUCAAGCUGAAUAUGGCCACCAAGAAAAUGCUCAAGUCGAUCCGCGACCUGGUCUACAAGCGUGACUCCUUCAAGCACCGACAUUGCUGCAUCAUAUCACAGAAAAGAUCGAGCGCUGAACGCACUCAACCAGCUGGGCAGCAUUCAGAGAAAGAUCAACGGCUCAAGUGCAGCGUUCAGUAAGGGCGGCAACUCCAAGCUAGACGUUCCCAAGCACUGGUCUCGCGCACUGGUCCCACCCCGCGGCGCAUCUGUCCCUCAGCCUCUUUAGCUCGAUAUGAUUUUGUACACUUAAUUGAAUAAAAUCCUGUUUUUUUCUGUUGCAACUGUUUAUUUUACUUUAGAGUUUAAGAUUUAUUUAUGCAGAAUCUACCUGAUAUUUUCAGGGGUUGUUCGGACAUAUAUAACUAGCAUCUGGGCUAAAUAUGAGCACCCACACGUCUUCAUCAGCAUGUUAGGUUGUACAGGUAGAUCUUCGUUUUACUCCUUGUCGGCCGCGUCCGACAUGUUUAACAGUAUGGCCGAGUUCUUUUCCAAGAGGCUCAAGUGGGAUCCACCACCUCUGUUGGACGCAACUGCGACGGUCUCCGGAACAACUGGAGCCUGUGCCGGCUGCAGUCGACGCUGUCCUCCGAGCUGGGCAACGCGUCCCUAUGCAUCGUUAUAGUUUUCCACGGCCAGUCUCAAUCAUGCCGUCCUGUAGGAUGAAGAAAAAACAAUUAGAGUUAAAACUAAAGCAAGAAUAGUGUUUGACUAACCAACACCAUGUAGCAGGUCGCGCUGCUCGGUUUGGUCGGCGGCUUUAGCGCUGAGAGAUUCCGGCCGGCUCCGAUUAACACUACAACAGAUGUUCGACCACUUCGCCCUGAUUUUCACCAGCCAGCUCAAGGAUAACAAUGGCCACUUCCAGGUUGCCACCACUGUACUCCUCUGUUCCUUCAGACUGCUCGCCACCAGUAGUGCGGCCUUUCGAUUCCCGGCGUACACUUCGCGGCCGUUCCUGGCCAAUCCUUUUUGCAAACUCCCGCACUGAAAAGGCUGUCCCCACCACGAAAUAGACGAAAGACCGAUCCGUCUCGAACCCUUCGCAAGCGCAGGAUACGGUUCCGACUGCUGAUCUGUCUCCACCGGUUUUGCUCGAAUCUAUGACAUUUCCCCGAAACCCAUAUUACCGAAGGGACAUUUCCCCGAAUGCCACUUCCCCGAAAAGACACAUCCUCUAAUAGUCAUUUCCCCGAAUUCCAUUUACCCGAAUUUCCCAUUUCCCCUAAUCGCCCACAUCCCCGAAUGCCAUUUUCCCGAAUGGGCCACAAUCCCGAAUGCCACUUACCCGAUUAGUCAUAUCCCUGAAUAGUCAUUUCCCUGAAUGCCAUUUCCCCGAACGCGGU